rnacentral:rRNA from 1 species
AGUGAACGCUGGCGGUAGGCCUAACACAUGCAAGUCGAACGGCAGCACCGUAAGAGCUUGCUCUUACGGGAGGCGAGUGGCGGACGGGUGAGGAAUACAUCGGAAUAUACUUUUUCGCGGGGGCUAACGUAGGGAAACUUACGCUAAUAACGCAUACGACCUACGGGUGAAAGCAGGGGAUCUUCGGACCUUGCGCGAUUGAAUGAGCCGAUGUCGGAUUAGCUAGGUGGCGGGGUAAAGGGCAACCAAGGCGACGAUCCGAAGCUGGUACGAGCGGAAGAACAGGCAGCCUGGAACAGAGACACGGCACAGACUCCUGCGGGAGGAAGCAGUGGGGAAUAUUGGACAAGGGGCGCAAGCCUGAUCCAGCCAUACCGCGUGAGGGAAGAAGGACCCCUGGUUGUAAAACCCUGUUGUUCGGAAAGAAGAGCAGCAGUUUAACACCCCGCUGUCCUGACGGUACCCAAAGAAUAAGCACCGGCUAACUUCGUG